ensembl:lncRNA
UGCGGUUCGAUUUUGGUUGGAACAGGGUGUGGCAGGCUUUUCCAUCUGUGACUCGGAUGAAGUAUACACAGAGAAGGUAAGACAAUUCAGAUUUUCAAUAUGUUAACCUUUCCUAACAAAAUGUUAAUGUUUCAGACUCUCCUGGAAUGGAGGACUGUCUUUAAGGAAUUUGGCAACCAGGAAGAGGAAAGGAUCGUGCUGGUGAAACAGACAGGAGACAUUCUACUUCCUCAAAGAACUUCCAGCCACAGCAACAUCACUUUGAUCAAUGUGAUCAUGAGGUCAAUUCUGCCACAAUCGCAUCACCUGCUGACCGUGCAGAAAGUAGCAGAAGCCAUAGAGACACAUCUACAAACACAGGAAGAGCAUAUAUGGCUGAGCUGGACAAUUGGAGGUAAAGUAUCUCGUAACUUAAAACGGUUACUUUUGGUGUUGACGAUGACACUGCCCGGAUCACCAGUAAUUCAACAUGGGGAGGUUGAUCAAAUACAGAAUGUGUCUCUUCCAGUCAACGGUAAAAGCGAUGAGCAAUCGGACGCCUCUGCUGGAGAGGAGACAUCAACACGUUCAAAUCUGGCCCUUUUUACCUCCCUAAGCCAUUCCAGAGCCAGAGAAGAAGCUCUACUUUAUGGCAGUUUCACCUUCCUGCCUUUCAACACCUCCAACAUGAUCCCUUCAAACUCCACAGCUCCCUCGCCUACAAACCCCCCCAUCCUGGCCUUUUUACGGUCCUGGGGUUGUGUCCAUUUCAUUAUUCUCCUCAAUGUUGGGCCUGUGCCCCAUGCCCUGGAUCCAGCCUGGGCCCAGUCCCUGCCUGAGGCUGGAGUGUUUGUAUCCAGCACAGGACAGGAUCGAUUAGGCUCCACUUCUCUGUACGCUCUGAAGCUGCAACCCUAUGAGGCCAUUGUGAUCAAACUGUUCCAGGGUGGAAGCUACUCAUAGGUCUGAUGUCACUAAUGUGUCUUUGGAGCCAAGCUGUUGUAUCUCACACAGCAACUGUAAUCUUUCUCGAACAAGUUUUAAUGACUUCAGUUCCUGAAAAUAAAGCAAUAUUUCAGUGUGCCA